rnacentral:rRNA from 1 species
UACGUAGGGUGCAAGCGUUGUCCGGAAUUAUUGGGCGUAAAGAGCUCGUAGGCGGUUUGUCGCGUCUGCUGUGAAAACUCGGGGCUCAACUCCGAGCUUGCAGUGGGUACGGGCAGACUAGAGUGCGGUAGGGGAGACUGGAAUUCCUGGUGUAGCGGUGGAAUGCGCAGAUAUCAGGAGGAACACCGGUGGCGAAGGCGGGUCUCUGGGCCGUAACUGACGCUGAGGAGCGAAGGCAUGGGGAGCGAACAGG